rnacentral:snRNA from 1 species
GUGCUUGCUUUGGCAGCACACAUACUAAAAUUGGAACCACACAGAGAAGAUUAGAAUGGCCCCUGCACAAGGAUGACAUGCAAAUUUGGGAAGUGUCCCAUGUUUUU